AUUGAACGCUAGCGGGAUGCCUUACACAUGCAAGUCGAACGGAGUGGCGAACGGGUGAGUAAUGUAUCGGAACGUGCCCAGUAGCGGGGGAUAACUACGCGACAGCGUAGCUAAUACCGCACACUAUUGGAGCGGCCGAUAUCGGAUUAGCUAGUUGGUGGGGUAACGGCUCACCAAGGCGACGAUCCGUAGCUGGUUUGAGAGGACGACCAGCCACACUGGGACUGAGACACGGCCCAGACGCAUACGGAAGGCAGCAGUGGGGAAUUUUGGAAGAUGGGGGAAACCCUGAUCCAGCCGUCCCGCGUGUGCGAUGAAGGCGUUCGGGUUGUAAAGCACGUUUGGCAGGAAAGCGGUACCUGCAGAAUAAGCGCCGGCUGACUACGUGCCAGCAGCCGCGGUAAUUC
rnacentral:rRNA from 1 species